UGGAUCCAGACUUUGAUUAUGGCUCAGGAUGAACGCUAGCUACAGGCUUAACACAUGCAAGUCGAGGGGAAACGAUAUUGGAAGCUUGCUUCCGAUAGGCGUCGACCGGCGCACGGGUGAGUAACGCGUAUCCAACCUGCCCAUCACUUGGGAAUAACCUUGCGAAAGUAAGACUAAUGCCCAAUGACAUUUAUAGAAGGCAUCUGAAAUGAAUUAAAGAUUUAUCGGUGAUGGAUGGGGAUGCGUCUGAUUAGCUUGUUGGCGGGGUAACGGCCCACCAAGGCGACGAUCAGUAGGGGUUCUGAGAGGAAGGUCCCCCACAUUGGAACUGAGACACGGUCCAAACUCCUACGGGAGGCAGCAGUGAGGAAUAUUGGUCAAUGGGCGAGAGCCUGAACCAGCCAAGUAGCGUGCAGGAUGACGGCCCUAUGGGUUGUAAACUGCUUUUAUAGGGGAAUAAAGUGAGCCACGUGUGGUUUUUUGCAUGUACCCUAUGAAUAA
rnacentral:rRNA from 1 species